CCUGGUACCCAGAUACUGGAGCAACUCACCACUUUACUCCGAACGUCCAGUCAAUAUCAUCCCCAAUGCCGUAUCAGGGACCCGGGUCCGCUCAGUUAGGUAAUGGGACCCAACUACAGAUCCAAUACUUGGGGGAUGGUAAUUUUGCAAGUGGAUCCUCUCUUUUUUCAUUACGUAACAUUUUGCACGUUCCGUCACUUAAAACUCCGUUAUUAUCUGUUCAACAGUUUUGCAGGGAUAAUAACUGUUAUUUUUUGUUUGACUCUUUUCGUGUCUUUGUGAAGGACCGAGUUACUCACAAGGUACUCCUUCAAGGGCAACAUGAUGGAUCCCUCUACAAAAUCGUCCCAACUCCACCACCUACUCUUCACUCGACUCGAGCCAAUCUGGAUGUCUGGCAUCAACGGCUGGGUCACCCUCAGGAGUCGGUUCUCCGUCAUGUAGUAUCUGCAAAUUGUUUACCUUCUGUUAGUUCAAAAUUCAAUAAGUGUAGGUCAUGUGUGUUAGGCAAGGCUAGUCGCAACAACCUUGUCUCGACCUACUCUAAAUCCAAGUGUCCGUUAGAACUCAUUCAUAGUGAUGUGUGGGGCCCUGCCCCGGUUUCCUCCUAUAAUGGACACAGAUAUUUCGUAUUUUUUAUCGAUGAUUUCUCUAGGUUUGUCUGGUUUUUCCCUAUCAAACAUAAAUCGGAAGUGGUAGGCAUUUUUCAGAAGUUUCACAUUAUGGUGGAAAAACAAAUCGGACAUAAAAUAAAGUACUUCCAAUCAGACUUCGGUGGCGAAUUCCAAGCUCUCACCACAUAUUUCACCUCUCAUGGAAUUCAUCACCGAAGGUCGUGCCCACAUACUCAUGAACAAAGUGGCACGGCAGAGAGGAAGAUCAGGCAUAUAGUGGACACUGGUCUAACACUUCUCGCUCAUGGUAGGAUUCCUCUGUCAUAUUGGAAUUUUGCUUUUUCUACAGCAGUAUUUACUAUAAAUCAUAUACCAUCCAAAACUCAUGGGAUUCCACCACUUCAAAAGUUAUUCAACAUCCAACCUAAACACGCCUUCCUAAAAGUGUUUGGGUGUGAGGUCUUUCCACUCCUUAGACCUUAUAAUCAACAUAAGUUUGCUUUUCGCUCUACUUCUUGUGUUUUCCUUGGGUAUAGUCCGUCUCAUAUGGGAUAUAUGUGUCUUGAUCCACCAACUCAAAAAAUAUACAUUUCGCGUCAUUGUACUUUUUUCGAAAAUUCCUUCCCAUUUGCAAAAUUACAGGUACCCCAAGGUACAUCAACAGAUUGUCAGUCAGGCCCAUGGGGAAUGCUUUCGGUUCAUCCAUCAAAUACGGCUGCGCCUAUCCCUGAAAGGUCAAAUUCUCAGGAUCCUCGGUUCAGUCCAGAAUCACCUGGUUUACCAACUCCUGUGGGGCCCACAAGGUCGCCAACAGUAUAUGGUACUGAAAGUUCAAAUAAUUCGCUGCCAACUAGUCAAGGCUCAGACGACUCUGUAAGCCCAAGUCCCCCAGCCCCUAAUAAUCGGCCCCAACGGAAUAUUCCUCGAGUUGAUUAUCGGAGACUAGCAGGAUUGGAAGCCACGUCACUUGCAAUUGAUGACUUCUCAGAACCAACUACAGUCCGACAGGCGUCCAAAUCACCUGAGUGGAUCCAGGCCAUGGAAGUUGAGUUUGGUGCACUAAUGCGGAAUCACACUUGGUCCUUGGUGGAUCUUCCUCGAAAUGCAAACUUGGUCACGUGUAAAUGGGUGUUCAAGGUCAAGAGAGGGUCUGAUGGCAGUCUCAAACGACGAAAGGCACGUCUGGUUGCACGUGGGUUUUCACAAGUCGAGGGAAUUGAUUUUGAUGAAACGUAUAGUCCAGUUGUGAAAUUUCCAACCAUCAGAAUCAUGCUAGCACUCGCAAUAUCCAAGGGUUGGCAGCUUCGUCAGCUUGAUGUCGACAAUGCAUUUCUAAAUGGGGACCUCAAGGAAAUUGUGUUUAUGACACAACCCCCAGGGUUUGUAAGUAAAUAUCACCCAACCAAGGUAUGCAGACUUCAUAAGUCACUCUACGGGCUUCGGCAAUCUCCUAGAGCAUGGUACGAACGUCUGAGUAAUUUUUUGAAAUUGAUUGGUUUUGUAAGCACCGCGUCAGACGCAUCUCUAUUUUUGAGGGUUACGAGAAAUUCUCAGGUGUAUAUGUUGAUUUAUGUGGAUGACAUAGUAGUGACAGGGUCUUCAGCUUCAGACAUCGCACAAUUGAUUGACACAUUGUCCAAGGAGUUCAGACUCAAGGAUAUGGGAAAACUGCAGUUCUUCUUAGGAAUGGAACUAACUCCGGUAGGUACUACCGGUGGUUAUGUUCUAUCUCAACAUCAGUACAUUUGUGAUCUACUCCGUCGAACAAAUAUGCACAAGUCAAAAUCCGCAUCCACGCCUAUGCCGUCUACUACAAAGUUGACUGCGUCUGACGGGGUAAUCAUGGAAGAUAAACUGCUAUAUCGAUCGACGGUAGGGGCGCUGUUAUACUUGGUAAAUACUCGUCCGGAUAUAUCAUUUACCGUAAAUAAACUGUGUCAGUAUCUACAAAAUCCAACCACAGUUCAUUGGGCAGCAGCAAAACGAGUACUGAGAUAUCUACAAGGUACGACUUCAUUUGGAAUAUUGCUUGCACCAUCAGCCUCGAUCAGAAUAGAUGUAUACACGGAUGCUGAUUGGGCAGGAUGCCUAGAUGAUCGACGAAGUACCGGAGGAUUUGCUAUAUUCAUCGGGAAUAAUCUAGUCUCCUGGUCAGCCAAGAAACAACCCACUAUUGCACGAUCAUCCACAGAAGCUGAGUUUCGCAUUAUGGCUGAUGCAGCAUCGGAAACAGUAUGGAUUCGGAAUUUACUAAGGGAGAUUCGACUAAUACCAAUUUCACGAGCUCAAUUAUGGACGGAUAACCUUGGGGCUAAAUAUUUAGCACACAAUCCAGUGUUUCACUCUAGAAUGAAACAUAUGGCAAUCAAUUUCGGGUUCGUGCGAGAAUUAGUCAAAAAUGGAGAAAUACAUGUCACUCAUAUAUCUACAAGAGAUCAGAUAGCAGAUGGCUUCACUAAGCCACUACCCUCGUCACGAUUUCUUGAAAUAAGAUCCAAGCUCGGCGUAGUUUCUCAAUCGCCAACUUGAGGGGAAAUAUUGGACUAUAUAUAUGAUAUAAGUAAUUAUAGAUAUAUAUAUUUAAGAAAUACAAAAUUGUAAAAGAUAACAAACCCCACUCACAUAAUUGUGGGUUUGUUAUACUCAAAUGUGUAUAAAUACCCUCAUACAAUAAAGGCAAAGUAAGUUUUGUUUUGCCCAAAAGUUCUACCUCCACAUUUACUCUUCAUUCUCCUCCAAACGUUGAUUGCUCCAUGGCUUCCUUUGGUUCACCCUCAUUCUCCAUGGACAACCAAUCCAACAACCAACACCGUCGUACGGAAACACCCAACACCACCCUACCAUAUUUCAACAAGGUACGAACCAACUACCUCAACCACCAUUCUCAUUGAAAGCACCAAAUGAUAGGAGUAAAGCCUAUCGGGUACGUAUAAACUAAACUAGAAGACUAAAAGAUAACGAAAUACUAAAAAUAUUUUUUUCUAUUUAAUUCAUAAAGUUCACU
rnacentral:lncRNA from 1 species